CUCUUCCAGAGGUCCUGAGUUCAAAUCCCAGCAACCAGAGGAUGGCUCACAACCAUCUGUAAUGGGAUCUGAUGCCCUCUUCUGGUGUCUGAAGACAGCGACACUGUACUUAUAUAGAAUAAAUAAAUCUUUAAAUAAAAAACAGAAAGUUAAAGCAGGAGUAGGUUGAAACCUAUAUGGGAAGAAAACAAUACUGAGCCUUAAAAGCAGCAAUUAAUGUGAGGGACAAAUGAGCUUUUUCUGCAUAGAAAGUUUUUGAUGAAGAUAAAGCUUGAAUUUGCUUUUCAUGGAAAGACUACAGAGAAACAAGAACUUACCUGACCAAGUCUGUGUUUAUAACGCAUCAAUGAAGGCAGGAAGCCAUCUCUACGGAAACGAGCGUCUGGCUUCCACUCCUCUGCAGCACCAAGUGCUGAGAAACAGCAUUUUAAAGAGAAAGUUCCAGGACAUCUGAUGCCCUCUUCUGGCCUCCACAUGGUGCCAGGCAUGCACACGGUGCACAGCUAUUUCCUGCACACAAACAUCUGUAAAAUAAAUUCUUAAAAAGCUGGAUCAGGAGGAAUGGAAUGUUCUAGAGUGGAAACGUAAGUUGGAUUUUAAUCGCAGGAAGCUGGCCAGGGUGGUGGUGCUUUCCUAAAUACCUGAAAUUCUAGACGUCUGUCUGAGUUCAAGUAUUGUGAAGGUGUGGGUGUAGCUCAGCGGUAGAGCACCGGCCCUAGGGUUUUUUUUUUUGUUUUUUGGUUUUUUUUUUUUUUUUGUUAUGUUUGUUUGUUUUGUUUGAUACAGGGUUUCACUUUGUAGUCUUGGAUGACCCAGAACUAAUGUAGACCAGGCUGGUUUCGAACUCAUAGACAUUCACCUACCUGACUCCUCCAGGUGCUGGGACUAAGUGCAUGUGCCACCAUGCCCAGCCAGGCCCUAGUUUUGACACCCAGCUUGGAGUGGCAGCAGGGAGCACAGUAGGAACAGAAACAUGGAAGACACAUUCCUUCUGGAACCCAAGUGUUAGUGUUGGCGGUAAAGCUGGGUUUUCUUGUUUUCAUUUGCUUGCCCUGGGCAGACUUGAGAACAAGAGUGAGGGUGCCCUCAGCCUCCUCACUCAGCCCCCACAGCAGUGUGUGCUCCUAGCUGUCUGGCCAGGUUAAGCUCUCAACUAGAGUUUCAGUGACCUCAGAUGUUUCCUUUAACUUAGCAACACAGGAGUUCUCAGAUCACUUUGUGUUUGAAUGAAUCUGGAGUACUACAAACCCUCUCCUCAGAGACCUACAAUCCCUUCCGGGUGGAGACCAGGUCUUCUCUUGCUUAGCUGUGAUUGACAAGUCUGACUUUACCACUUACAUAAGUAAUCUGCUGUCUUAAAGUUUUAGUGUUUUCUAUGUGACAGUUCCUUCUUUUGUCCCCCCCCCCCUUUUUUUGUAACAAAACUGUGUUUGCAACGUUUUUUAUUCUCCUGGGUGUUUUUAAACACACUAGAAAGGUCUUUCUGGCUACUGUUCAUUCACUAGUCUGAUUUUAUUGUACCCUUUCCAACUGUUCCUCCCCUGGUGGCCACAUCUGGGAACACAGGGAUGUGCACCGGAGCCCGGGAGCUGCGGGCUCUGCAGCUGUCUGGUGUCUGCCUUGGAAGGUGUUCUUACCCUCUGGUCUAGUAGAAUCUCUUACUAAUUUGGAAUGUUCAGGCUUUGUUUGUUUGUUUGUUUGUUUGUUUGUUUGUUUGUGCUUUAAGAUGUUGGUUGGUUUUAUUCUUGGAUAUGCAGCUUUACUCUUUAACCCAGAUUUUAAAAAUAAUAAAAAAUAAUAAUGUA
ensembl:lncRNA